rnacentral:lncRNA from 1 species
AUCCAGUUAAUAGUCUGCUUGACGUUGAUCUCAAAAGUGGACGAGCAAUCCAGGUUCGAAUUUAUUACAAUCCAGACUUUGGACAACUCUCUAUUUAUGCGGCAUAUUCGGGGGAAACACUUGUGAAGGUGAUUGAAAAACCCAUUAACCUGUCAGAUAUAAUUCCAACGCCCGUCUAUGUUGGAUUCACAGCAGCUACGGGGGACUUUUUAGAAAGCCAUGAGGUUAUAAAUUGGACCUUCAACUCGUUCCCAGUGCCGCCUUCUCUCAAGGAGAAAAACCUGGUGAUGCCAAUAUAAUUCUAAACCGUCCUUGAAAAACCAUGUCACAUAAAUUAUAAUCAAUAAUAAUUAAUAUCACCAAUAAAGUGACAUGGCUCUUGCAUUAAAAUAUUGAAUAAAAUGAUAGCAGCGACUAGGAUUAAUACUGUUUGCUUGCUGUCUGAGAUGUACUGUAUGUGCUUAUGUAGAAAUGCUCAUAUUCAGCUUCUAUUGAUUACGUUGCAGCUUUGAGCUUCUGAUGUUUUCUUACCCUUUUCCUCGUUCUCUUCUUUAAGUUUAUCGGAACAAAAUUCUCUUCUCACGGUGGAUAUCAUAGCAUAAAAUUUAACCAUAGGAAACAAUGCAUGCAUCGCUAUAGAUAUUAAUUACAUGUGGAGUCCUUUUCUCCUGCGAACGUCUGUACGAAUUUUUGUGCGAUGGAACUCAGAUUUUUAGAACGUCGUACAUUUGCCUCUAGAUGUAUAUGACAA